rnacentral:rRNA from 1 species
AUUAGAGUUUGAUCAUGGCUCAGAACGAACGCUGGCGGCAGGCUUAACACAUGCAAGUCGAACGGUCUCUUCGGAGGCAGUGGCAGACGGGUGAGUAACACGUGGGAAUCUACCCAUCUCUACGGAACAACUCCGGGAAACUGGAGCUAAUACCGUAUACGCCCUUUUGGGGAAAGAUUUAUCGGAGAUGGAUGAGCCCGCGUUGGAUUAGCUAGUUGGUGGGGUAAAGGCCUACCAAGGCGACGAUCCAUAGCUGGUCUGAGAGGAUGAUCAGCUACAUUGGGACUGAGACACGGCCCAAACUCCUACGGGAGGCAGCAGUGGGGAAUAUUGGACAAUGGGCGCAAGCCUGAUCCAGCCAUGCCGCGUGAGUGAUGAGGGCCCUAGGGUUGUAAAGCUCUUUCACCGGUGAAGAUAAUGACGGUAACCGGAGAAGAAGCCCCGGCUAACUUCGUGCCAGCAGCCGCGGUAAUACGAAGGGGGCUAGCGUUGUUCGGAAUUACUGGGCGUAAAGCGCACGUAGGCGGAUAUUUAAGUCAGGGGUGAAAUCCCGCAGCUCAACUGCGGAACUGCCUUUGAUACUGGGUAUCUUGAGUAUGGAAGAGGUGAGUGGAAUUCCGAGUGUAGAGGUGAAAUUCGUAGAUAUUCGGAGGAACACCAGUGGCGAAGGCGGCUCACUGGUCCAUAACUGACGCUGAGGUGCGAAAGCGUGCGGAGCAAACAGGAUUAGAUACCCUGGUAGUCCACGCCGUAAACGAUGAAUGUUAGCCGUCGGGCAGUUUACUGUUCGGUGGCGCAGCUAACGCAUUAAACAUUCCGCCUGGGGAGUACGGUCGCAAGAUUAAAACUCAAAGGAAUUGACGGGGGCCCGCACAAGCGG